GAUGAACGCUGGCGGCGUGCCUAAUACAUGCAAGUCGAGCGAACGGACGAGAAGCUUGCUUCUCUGAUGUUAGCGGCGGACGGGUGAGUAACACGUGGAUAACCUACCUAUAAGACUGGGAUAACUUCGGGAAACCGGAGCUAAUACCGGAUAAUAUUUUGAACCGCAUGGUUCAAAAGUGAAAGACGGUCUUGCUGUCACUUAUAGAUGGAUCCGCGCUGCAUUAGCUAGUUGGUAAGGUAACGGCUUACCAAGGCAACGAUGCAUAGCCGACCUGAGAGGGUGAUCGGCGACACUGGAACUGAGACACGGUCCAGACGCCUAAGGGAGGCAGCAGUAGGGAAUCUUCCGCAAUGGGCGAAAGCCUGACGGAGCAACGCCGCGUGAGUGAUGAAGGUCUUCGGAUCGUAAAACUCUGUUAUUAGGGAAGAACAUAUGUGUAAGUAACUGUGCACAUCUUGACGGUACCUAAUCAGAAAGCCACGGCUAACUACGUG
rnacentral:rRNA from 1 species